UACAGAGGGUGCGAACGUUGCUCGGAAUUACUGGGCGUAAAGCGCAUGUAGGCGGGUCGGCAAGUCAGAUGUGAAAUCCCCGGGCUCAACCCGGGAACUGCAUCUGAAACUGCUGGUCUUGAGUACUGGAGAGGGUGGCGGAAUUCCUGGUGUAGAGGUGAAAUUCGUAGAUAUCGAGAGGAACACCGGUGGCGAAGGCGGCCAACUGGACGAAUACUGGACGCUGAGACACGAAAGCGUGGGGAGCAAACAGG
rnacentral:rRNA from 1 species